AUUGAACGCUGGCGGCAUGCUUUACACGUGCAAGUCGAACGGUAACAGGUUAAGCUGACGAGUGGCGAACGGGUGAGUAAUGCAUCGGAACGUGCCCGAUCGUGGGGGAUGACGCAGCGAAAGCUGCGCUAAUACCGCAUACGAUCUGAGGAUGAAAGCGGGGGACCGUAAGGCCUCGCGCGAUCGGCGCGGCCGAUGGCAGAUUAGGUAGUUGGUGGGGUAAAGGCCCACCAAGCCGACGAUCUGUAGCUGGUCUGAGAGGACGACCAGCCACACGGGGAGUGAGACACGGCCCAGACUCCUCCGGGAGGCAGCAGUGGGGAAUUUUGGACAAUGGGCGAAAGCCUGAUCCAGCAAUGCCGCGUGCAGGAAGAAGGCCUUCGGGUUGUAAACUGCUUUUGUACGGAGCGAAAAGGUCCUUUCUAAUACAAGGGGCUCAUGACGGUACCGUAAGAAUAAGCACCGGCUAACUACGUGCCAGCCGCCGCCGUAA
rnacentral:rRNA from 1 species